GUCCACGCGGUAAACGAUGGGGGCUAGGUGUGGGGGGUAUCGACCCCCUCCGUGCCGAAGCUAACGCAUUAAGCCCCCCGCCUGGGGAGUACGGCCGCAAGGUUGAAACUCAAAGGAAUUGACGGGGGCCCGCACAAGCGGUGGAGCAUGUGGUUUAAUUCGACGCAACGCGAAGAACCUUACCUGGGCUGGACAAGCAGGAAGUAGGAAACCGAAAGGGGACCGACCUGUCAAGUCAGGGACCUGCUCAGGUGGUGCAUGGCUGUCGU
rnacentral:rRNA from 1 species